CACGUGAGGAGGAAUAUCGCGGGGAAAAGGGCGAAAAACGCUUAGCGGUGCAAUAAAGUUAGGAAUGGAGUCAUAAUGGAGGCAGUGGUUAAACUUCACACAAGUUUAAAAAGACAAAAAAAAAUAUGCAUGUAACUUCUUUAAUCAUUUAAUGCACCACCCGGCGCUUGCGAAACGUGAAUCAAAUCAAACACACCUGCGAUGUUGCUUGACCAACAGGUGCAUGCUGGGUCGAGCUAAAUGCUAAAUGCUAAACGCUAAACGCUAAAAUGUUCGCGGUGGACUCUCCGGCUGUCGAUUCCAAGUUCAGUUCGAAACUCCUACCUGCGAAGCGGGUGUGCACGACCUCUCUGCUGUUGUCGCGGCUCCGGAGCUCAUUCAACGCCGUGUUUGAACACCGGGCACCGCACCGCGGCGAGGCGGAGAAGGCGAAUGCCGGAUGUGGCCUGAGCCGGCUGCUGACGCGGAGCACUGAGAAAGAAGGAGCAGGGAGGUGGAAUUUAGACUGUGGAGGACUUCACAGUGCAGAAGACUCGGGAGUCUCAUGUUCAGACAGGACCUGCAUGAUGUCAUCGGGAAGUAGGCGCCAGGGACCGAUAUCGGGGAACAACGAUAUAAAGAAACAAUGGCGCCCGAAGCGGUUUGACACUGGCUGUUUUGUUAGUUGAAAAGCCUACAAAAAAGAAAGAGAGUGAAAAAGGCGGGGGUGUUGCUGGCGCAGCUGCAGGAACCUUCCCGCUGUUGAUCAGCUCCACCCAGCAGCGGCAACAACAUCCUUCCUCUUUGGCUUUGCCAUGUUCACAAGCGCGCACGUGAGAGCAAUCUGUUCUGCUGUUGGUCAGUGUCACAGAAGGUGUGGUGGAGAAUGUCAAGAGAAGACAAAAACAUUCUGACAUGCUAUCAUCUUUGUCGGAACAUGUCUACUAUGAUACACUACAUGGGAUGAAACGAUCAACUGUUGCGCCUGAUGCCCAUUUUUGUUCCUGACGCCCUACGUCUGACGGGUCAGACUAUUAUCGGGCUGAUAUCGUGUAGUCUGCCAUAGGAAUUGUCAGGCUAUUUGUAAAUGUAGCUUAAUAUUGAUAUAUCCAUACUUUUUAUUUAGGGUUUGUCAUUUUUGUUUAAUUGUCCUGAGUUUUUUCCUUCUUUUCUGAUUAGUUCCCAAUUCCCAAUUUUCUGAUUAACACUGGUUAGUUCCCAACUUUUUCUGGAGGUUGGGAACAAGUAGGUCAAAAAAUUGAGUUUGAGAUCAAGCAAAUUAGCACAUUUGAAACACCGUCUUCUGGGGUAGCAUUUCUAACAUUGAUAGCAAAUUCGAUUUUCUAGCUCCAAAGCUACGUUUCAGCUGGAACUCUGCUCAUCCCAAAAAUUUUUUACAGAGGAAAGAAUGACUUUUUGCUUGUAACUCUAUAAAAAUCCCACAAAUGAUUCCAUCCUCUGUAGUGUACCAAAUAUCUAAUCAGUAGUGACUUUUACUUUGAUGUCAGCAGUUAUUUUGUUUGACUAAGUGGCCUAUUUUUCAGACAUAGGAUAAAAUCAUUUCAGAGUGAGACUCAUAAAAUAUUAAAGAAAAAUUCCGAUAUACACAAGUGUUAAAAUGCAGAUAACUUGGAUUAGAUUUGGUGGGUGAGGCAGUGUCUGGAUCAUUUAUAAUAAAUGCGCUCACUUUUGA